rnacentral:rRNA from 1 species
UACGGGGGGAGCAAGCGUUGUUCGGAUUUACUGGGCGUAAAGGGCGCGUAGGCGGCCAGCACAAGUCAGUUGUGAAAUCUCCGUGCUUAACUCGGAAAGGUCAACUGAUACUGUGCGGCUAGAGUGCGGAAGGGGCAACUGGAAUUCUUGGUGUAGCGGUGAAAUGCGUAGAUAUCAAGAGGAAUACCUGAGGUGAAGACGGGUUGCUAGGCCGACACUGACGCUGAAGCGCGAAAGCCAGGGGAGCAAACGGG